ACAACUGGAUAGCUCAGCUGGUUAGAGCAUGUUGCUGAUAAUGCCAAGGUUGCAGGUUUGAUCCCCAUAUGGACAGCUGCA
rnacentral:tRNA from 1 species